AUGUAGGACAAUGUGUCUUUAAGUAGGGGUAAAUUACUCUUAACGAAAAAAAAAGGAAUCCUAGAUAGUGUGUUCUUCAAGCCAAGCACCUUGU
rnacentral:pre_miRNA from 1 species